AAAGGAAUAGACGGGGGCCCGCACAAGCAGCGGAGCAUGUGGUUUAAUUCGAAGCAACGCGAAGAACCUUACCAGGUCUUGACAUCCAUUAAAACCUGUAGAGAUACAGAGUCCCUUCGGGGGUAAUGAGACAGGUGGUGCAUGGUUGUCGUCAGCUCGUGUCGUGAGAUGUUGGGUUAAGUCCCGCAACGAGCGCAACCCUUGCCGAUAGUUACUAACAGGUAGUGCUGAGGACUCUAUUGGGACCGCCGGGGACAACUCGGAGGAAGGUGGGGACGACGUCAAAUCAUCAUGCCCCUUAUGACCUGGGCUACACACGUGCUACAAUGGCCGAAACAGAGAGAAGCGAAGUCGAGAGGCUGGGCGAAUCUCAGAAAAACGGUCUCAGUUCAGAUUGUGGGCUGCAACCCGCCCACAUGAAGCAGGAGUUGCUAGUAAUCGCGAAUCAGCAUGUCGCGGUGAAUACGUUCCCGGGCCUUGUACACACCGCCCGU
rnacentral:rRNA from 1 species